GAUGAACGCUGGCGGCGUGCCUAAUACAUGUAAGUCGAGCGAACAGAUAAGGAGCUUGCUCCUUUGACGUUAGCGGCGGACGGGUGAGUAACACGUGGGUAACCUACCUAUAAGACUGGGAUAACUUCGGGAAACCGGAGCUAAUACCGGAUAAUAUUUCGAACCGCAUGGUUCGAUAGUGAAAGAUGGUUUUGCUAUCACUUAUAGAUGGACCCGCGCCGUAUUAGCUAGUUGGUAAGGUAACGGCUUACCAAGGCGACGAUACGUAGCCGACCUGAGAGGGUGAUCGGCCACACUGGAACUGAGACACGGUCCAGACUCCUACGGGAGGCAGCAGUAGGGAAUCUUCCGCAAUGGGCGAAAGCCUGACGGAGCAACGCCGCGUGAGUGAUGAAGGUCUUCGGAUCGUAAAACUCUGUUAUUAGGGAAGAACAUACGUGUAAGUAACUGUGCACGUCUUGACGGUACCUAAUCAGAAAGCCACGGCUAACUACGUG
rnacentral:rRNA from 1 species